rnacentral:misc_RNA from 1 species
GACCUAAAAGCCACAUUGCUCAUGCAUGAUCACAAAAGAAAAGUGUGUGCUCUACUAAUUCAAUUUCUACAUUACAAAUAAAGCAAACUGGAUCCACUGAUAAUCCCUUGUGAGCUAGAUUCUCCCUAGUUGGGAUGGCAUUAAGCAAAGCUCUCCAAAGGAAUUUUUUUUUAUUUUUGGCUGAACUAACAGAUUCCAUAGAGCCUUCCAUGCUUCCUAUGAGAUAAACAUUAAAGUAGAAUGGUUCAGAUGAGAUGAAGAAAAAUCAUCAGUAGAUUUACUCCUUGCUUUUAAAUAUUCUACGGUAGUAAUUAGAUAUCUCAGAAUGAGUUUCCUCUUUCAAAUCUAACCACCUUCCAGCAACAUCCUGAAGCUUCAUGAUAAGAUUUCGCUAUCUCCUCUGAAUCGCUAAUAAAUGGAAGAAGCGAGUAUUUCGGUCACCCUCAACAAGCCAACUAAUUCUGGACCUUUGUUUCUAAUGGACUUCCUCUCGAUACGACAAUUCAUGUAAACGAGAUAGAAGUUGUUGUUCUACAUCAUUGUUAGAUCCAUCUAUCACAUUGUUAUACACCUCCUCAAGUUGACUUUUGAUUCACUUCAUUUCCUCCUGAUCCCCUUUAAAAACUCUAGCAUUCCACCGACUCAAAGUUGUUCUGCACAGUUUCAACCUUUGCAUUAUUGCAAACAUAGGAGAACCCCUCACUACCUACUGCCAAGUUGAAGAGAUAAUCCUCGGACAAUCAGAAUUAUGCGGCCACUUAGCUUCAAAAUGAAUGAGACCCUUGCCUCUGGAUUCUGCGUUCUUUUAUCAAUAACACCAACAGCCUGUGAUCCGAUCCAAGCAGAGUUUCAUGAAUAAUCAUUGCUUUUGGGAAGGUUUCACGCCAUUCAACUGUUGAAACUACUCUAUCCAACCUCUCUUGGAUGGCUUCCUCCCCAAAAUGUUUGUUAUACCGAGUAAAUAUAGGCCCCUUACAUUCCAAGUCCAUGAACUGGCAGCGAUUAAG